CUGAGUUGUCGACACGAGUUGUUGCUGGUCCUCAAACAAGGGGGCAUGUGCACGCUCUGUUCACACAUCCACUCACACCUGUGCACCCUCUGUAGUUCUAUGGUCUGGGGGGGACAUAUCAUCCUCCCCCUGUAGUUCUACGUCUUUACACAUACACCGUAGCAAAGUCUCAUGGAAUGUGCAUAGCGUCUAACGCAAUACAAUA
rnacentral:misc_RNA from 2 species